AUGGUCGAACAAUGCCAAACUGAAAGUAACAACGAUGCUGGCACUCGUUCAUUUAUAGUUCCAUAUAGAAGAUGCAAAAGGCUGGAACUUCAUGCCUUGACGUGUAACAUACUGCAACUUAAUGCUGCUUGUCAGUAUGGAACACCACGGGUAGUUAGCGCUUGUGUUUUGCUCAUGCUCCUGGCAAAUCCUUUUGGUUCAGAAAGCUUAUGUGUUCUGGUAUGCUCCUUGGUAUAUUUCAGAGUGACUAGUUUCUACUCAUUCCUGUUUCUGUCUUUAAGAAUAGUUUGGAAACUUAAAUGA
rnacentral:rRNA from 1 species